rnacentral:tRNA from 1 species
CAAAAACAGUUUUAGAAAACAUUAACUUUGGGAGUUAAUAGAUAAAAAUUUUUUAUUUUUGA